rnacentral:rRNA from 1 species
UGGACUGUAACUGACGCUGAGGCACGAAAGCGUGGGUAGCAAACAGGAUUAGAUACCCUGGUAGUCCACGCCGUAAACGAUGGAUACUAGGUGUAGGGGGUAUCAACUCCCUCUGUGUCGCAGUUAACACAAUAAGUAUCCCGCCUGGGGAGUACGGUCGCAAGAUUAAAGCUCAAAGGAAUUGACGGGGGCCCGCACAAGCAGCGGAGCAUGUGGUUUAAUUCGAAGCAACGCGAAGAACCUUACCUGGACUUGACAUCCCUUGCAUAGCCUAGAGAUAGGUGAAGCCCUUCGGGGCAAGGAGACAGGUGGUGCAUGGUUGUCGUCAGCUCGUGUCGUGAGAUGUUUGGUUAAGUCCUGCAACGAGCGCAACCCUUGUUAUUAGUUGCUACCAUUAAGUUGAGCACUCUAAUGAGACUGCCUGGGUAACCAGGAGGAAGGUGGGGAUGACGUCAAAUCAUCAUGCCCCUUAUGUCCAGGGCUACACACGUGCUACAAUGGUAGGUACAAUAAGAGGCAAGACCGUGAGGUGGAGCAAAACUUAUAAAGCCUAUCUCAGUUCGGAUUGUAGGCUGCAACUCGCCUACAUGAAGCUGGAGUUGCUAGUAAUCGCGAAUCAGAAUGUCGCGGUGAAUACGUUCCCGGGCCUUGUACACACCGCCCGUCACACCAUGAGAGCUGGUAACACCCGAAGUCCGUGAGGCAACCGUAAGGAGCCAGCGGCCGAAGGUGGGAUUAGUGAUUGGGGUGAAGUCGUAACAAGGUAGCCGUAGGAGAACCUGCGGCUGGAUCACCUCCUU